UAAGUGAAGUUGAAUAUUUAUUUUAAGUGUAGUGAAAUAAUAAUAAUAGUGAGUAGUUAGUAAUAUUAGUAAUCAAGUGUUUAAUUAAAAUAUUUAACAAGUGUCUUGAGAGUUGACAAGUGAUCAAGUGUUUUAGUUCUUCUUUUUGGAGCACUUCAAGAAAUCAACGCGCAUCAACUUCCAUCAUGUGUUUUCAAUAUUGUGACCAAUUAAUUCAACAAAGAUGAUGGGGCUGAAAUUAAUAGUUUGCGUGCUGGAGAUAAAAUAGGCGGGUGAGCAUCAGGUAUUUAUGAAA